rnacentral:rRNA from 1 species
GAUGAACGCUGGCGGCGUGCCUAAUACAUGCAAGUCGAGCGAACGGACGAGAAGCUUGCUUCUCUGAUGUUAGCGGCGGACGGGUGAGUAACACGUGGAUAACCUACCUAUAAAACUGGGAUAACUUCGGGAAACCGGAGCUAAUACCGGAUGAUAUUUUGAACCGCAUGGUUCAAAAGUGAAAGACGGUCUUGCUGUCACUUAUAGAUGGAUCCGCGCUGCAUUAGCUAGUUGGUAAGGUAACGGCUUACCAAGGCAACGAUGCAUAGCCGACCUGAGAGGGUGAUCGCCCACACUGGAUCUGAGACCCGGUCCAGACUCCUACGGGAGGCAGCAGUAGGGAAUCUUCCGCAAUGGGCGAAAGCCUGACGGAGCAACGCCGCGUGAGUGAUGAAGGUCUUCGGAUCGUAAAACUCUGUUAUUAGGGAAGAACAUAUGUGUAAGUAACUGUGCACAUCUUGACGGUACCUAAUCAGAAAGCCACGGCUAACUACGUG